UAGAGUUUGAUCCUGGCUCAGAUUGAACGCUGGCGGCAGGCCUAACACAUGCAAGUCGAGCGGUAACAGAAAUUAGCUUGCUAAUUUGCUGACGAGCGGCGGACGGGUGAGUAAUGCCUGGGAAUAUGCCUUAGUGUGGGGGAUAACUAUUGGAAACGAUAGCUAAUACCGCAUAAUGUCUUCGGACCAAAGAGGGGGACCUUCGGGCCUCUCGCGCUAAGAUUAGCCCAGGUGAGAUUAGCUAGUUGGUGAGGUAAGAGCUCACCAAGGCGACGAUCUCUAGCUGGUCUGAGAGGAUGAUCAGCCACACUGGAACUGAGACACGGUCCAGACUCCUACGGGAGGCAGCAGUGGGGAAUAUUGCGCAAUGGGCGAAAGCCUGAUGCAGCCAUGCCGCGUGUAUGAAGAAGGCCUUCGGGUUGUAAAGUACUUUCAGUAGGGAGGAAGGCGUUGUCGUUAAUAGCGGCUUCGUUUGACGUUACCUACAGAAGAAGCACCGGCUAACUCCGUGCCAGCAGCCGCGGUAAUACGGAGGGUGCGAGCGUUAAUCGGAAUUACUGGGCGUAAAGCGCAUGCAGGUGGUUCAUUAAGUCAGAUGUGAAAGCCCGGGGCUCAACCUCGGAACCGCAUUUGAAACUGGUGAACUAGAGUGCUGUAGAGGGGGGUAGAAUUUCA
rnacentral:rRNA from 1 species